GUUUUUUUAUUUUAUUCUUAUCUAAUACCACGAUUCUUAAAGAACCCAUAAACCUUAUUGAGUAAUUCUAUAUAACUAUAGAAAGUUUUAUGCUAGAACUAGUAACAAGAAGCAGAACUUCUCAAAAAUGUAAGCUUAAGCCACUCUAGACAACCUACCGGCAAUUAACGCGGAUGAACCAAUUUUAACAACGUUACAAGAAAACCUUAAAAACAUUAGCGUCAACCUUACACUAGAACAUUUUUUGAAAGAUUAAAAGAAAGAGAAGGAACUCGGCAAAUUUUAACCCCGCCUGUUUACCAAAAACAUCGCCUCUUGACUUUAUAUAAGAGGUCUAGCCUGCCCAGUGACAAAGUUCAACGGCCGCGGUACCCUAACCGUGCGAAGGUAGCAUAAUCACUUGUUCUUUAAAUGAGGACUAGUAUCAACGGCAUCACGAGGGUUAGACUGUCUCCUCUCUCCAAUCAGUGAAACUAAUCUUCCCGUGAAGAAGCGGGAAUAGUCUUAUAAGACGAGAAGACCCCAUGGAGCUUUAAACCCAUCUACACCCCUAAUUUUUACUUCUUUAUAACCCCAGGAUCCUGUAUUAUGGUUUUAGGUUGGGGUGACCGCGGAGCACAACUUAGCCUCCACGAUGAACGGAGUAAUCCCCUUAUCUAAGAGCAACAUCUCUAAGAAUUAGAAUUCUAACAUAAAAUGAUCCGAUAUUCGAUCAACGAACCAAGUUACCCUGGGGAUAACAGCGCAAUCCACUUCAAGAGCUCCUAUCGACAAGUGGGUUUACGACCUCGAUGUUGGAUCAGGGUAUCCUAGUGGUGCAGCAGCUACUAAAGGUUCGUUUGUUCAACGAUUAAAACCCUAC
rnacentral:rRNA from 1 species